GGGAGAAAGAGGGAGAAAGAGGGAGAGAGAGGGAGAGAGAGGGAGAGAGAGGGAGAGAGAGGGCGGAGCACUGCUGCUCAUUCAAAUCAAAGGUGUGUUUUGGAUUUCGGCCCCCCGUGGGAUGGAGCUUGAUACCCCUGUUCCAGCCCCUUGUUGUGCGGUGUAACACAACUUUUCCUUGAGCUGGACUGAGAGCAGAAAAGAAAAGAACAACAUCGACCAGCUCCUGCUGUCAUCGUUGAGAGCUGGGAGGAGGACAGGGACAUCUGGUGGCCACAUUUCCCGCCGUUUUCUUGUGACAUCAAACUCAUUCUUCAGCGGUAAAUUACUGCCAGAGCUGAAGAUGUUGAUGUUACAGUAUUUCUUGCUCACCACAACACAAACAGAGCAUGUUUUCCAGACUCCGAAGAAAAACAGAGGAGCUGCCUGAAGGAGGAACAGACUAAACGGCCUCACAGGAAGCCCUCUCCAGAGGGGAUCUUUAGCAGAAUGUGUGGGACGUUUGGAUGAAACCUUUGGCUUUCCUCGCUGCAGAGUCACAGUUCAAGACCACACGAGUCAAUGUGAGACGCCGCCAGACAAUAAACCUGAUUUAUUUGGAUCUCCUUCAGGAGGCGCUGCACGUGGAACAAGGGAGGGAAAAUGGAGCAAUAAAGAAGAUUUAUUUGAA